rnacentral:piRNA from 1 species
UUAUCAAGGUAUUGAAAUGGC